CUUUUUAGGGCCGCACCCAUGGCAUAUGGAGGUUCCCGGGCUAGGGGUCUAAUUGGAGCCGUAGCCGCUGGCCUGCACCACAGCCACAGCGACGCGGGAUCCGAGCCGCAUCUGCAACCUACACCACAGCUCACGGCAACACCAGAUCCUUAACCCACUGAGCAAGGCCAGGGAUCGAAUCCACAACCUCAGGGUUCCUGGUCAGAUUCGUUAACCACUGUGCCACAGCGGGAACUCCCUGAACAUUUACAAACUGAAAGCAAAUGUCAUAACAGCAACCCUGGAACCCGUCGACUCUUGGGCUGCAGUUGUGAGAAGCAGAGCCCAGAUGCUCAGCCAGUGACGGAGCGGAGAGGAACGCUGCACCAGCGGCCAGUCAGGGGCCCAGCAGGCUUUGUGCCAACCUUCACCUUUACCCCCAGAGUCCAGGUCAGCCCAUGAUUUCCCCCAAUUCGGGGACUGGUGGUGGUUUCUGGAGGGUGCCCCCGAUUCUCUGUCUUGCUCACUCAGUCUCCGGCUGUCUCUCUGUCUGUCCCUGUCUCUCUGACCCUCUCUUCCCCUCUGUCUCCCGCUCUGACUCGCUCUGUCCCUCUGUCUCUUUCACUCCUUUCUUCUUGGUCCUUCCGCAGCCUCUCCAGCCCCUCUCCAGCCUCUGUCACACGCCUGCCCUCCCGCCUGCAUAGCUAAGGGCUGGACAAAGAACAGGCUCCAUGCUGAAGCCUAGCCCCACGCUGCCCUGGUUAUGGUCCUGCCUCUCCUCCCCUGCAGGUGUCCCGGCCUGAGCAGCACCAGCUACAGGACCCAAGCAGCAGGUCCCUUACUCCAGGGAAGGAGGGUGUCAGGGUGUCAGGGGAGAGCUCAAGAGGAAGGGGCUGCUCAGACGUGGGCGUGGGGAGCUCCGUGGACCAGGGAAGACCUGAGCACAGGUAGGGACCAUGGCCUCAGGGUAGGGGGUGCCCCAGACCUGUGGGGAAGGUGCACCGUUGGGUGGCCGGCCCCUCUGCACGGUCAGGCUGCGCCCACCCUACUUCCCGCCCCCCAUUCUCCACCCAGUGCCUCUCAUCUCCAGCUGAAAUGAGCUCAUUCACUCAUGUUUUUGAGGUCCGUGUCUCUCCUACAGAGGCCACACUUGCUGCUCAGGGCGUACUAUGCAAGGUCAGGCGAACAGACAGAUGGACAGACAAGCGAGGCCAGUCAGAACCGUCUCUGGGCUCCUGGAGCUGUGGACAGUCAGAGCAAAGCCUGGAGCCCCAGGCUGCUGGAGGGUCCAGGCCCAGGACGGUGAAGGACACACAGGCCUGGGCUGGAGGAGACCGGUUAGGGUUCCAGCUUAUUAGAAUAUGUGCCAACACCCAGCAAGGCUGGGGGGUUCGAGUGGACUUAGGACAGCUUUUCAAAUGUGCAGGAUUAAAUGGGCGACGGUGCACCUUUCCCUCCUGGAGACACAGGUGGGGGCGAGGUGGGGGUGUCUGCUGACUCCCAGGCCCGCGGCCUGCCUAGAAGGGAGUGAUGACGUGGAGUGAGGAGGGGCAGGGAGCUGGCUGUCACCCCCCCCCCCCCGNGGAGCUCCAACAAUACCUGCCCAUCUGCCCCUUUCUCCAGGGAGGCGGGAGCGGGGGGCGGGGGGGGAACAGCCUGGGCUGGUUUUACUCUCUCACUGCUGCGCAGCCUCGUGGCAGAGGGCAUGGGGCAAAUCCACCUUUGCACCUCUGGGGGGACGCUCCCUUAAUGGUUUAAGAGCAGCAUUCAAGUGCAUUCCUUGUUCCCUCUCCUACCCAGGCCCUCCAGGGCAAUCCCUCCAGGCCUCCAGCCCCAUGUGCUGCCACAGCUCCGCACAGCCUGCCUCGCCGGCCUCUCUGAGCAGCCGGGGUGGCCUGAGCAGCCUCGGGAAGCCUCUGCACACAUCCUGGUUUCCACUCAGACGGUUGAGCUAAACCGCUUGCCCUCACCCCGCACCUCCUGACAGCCAGCUCAGCACCCUGGCUCCUGGCGUGACAGCUGUGUCCCCCUCGGGACAUCCCGCUGCGUGUCUGAAAUUCUGACACUGCACCCAUUGUUCAGCUGCUGAAGAGACCGGCCCCUUGGGUGUGAAAAGGACACCCCAUGGAGCAUUAUUAAUGCACGGCUUGGGAGGGUUCUCCUGACAGCACUAAGCACGGGCUCGUGGCUCCCUCCAACCCCAGAUUAAUAAUCAUGGCUACACAAUAGACACUCUGAUCAAGCAGCAGGUCUGGGCCCAUCUUCCAACGUAAACGAAAGCCCCACCUGCCCGGGGUAGACACCAGCCUUGUCAAAGGAGCCCACGCACACCACCCUCCCUCACUGGGGUCACCCGCCUGGGGUGGCAGGAAGAGGGCGCCCAGGCUCUGGAUAUCCACUGGACAGCCACAAUUCGGGGCCCAAAUGUUUCACUCUUUAAGGCCAAGAAGAGAUUUAAGGUCCUACGCCUACUCUUUUCGCCUAAAGUAUUAAAAAAAAAAAAGAGAGAGAGAGAGAGAGAAAGAAAGAAAAGAAAGCCGAAUGCGCAGUCACACAGGCAGCUAAGCUUUUCCAGCAGCCCCAUCAGACGGGCUCUGAGCUGUCCACACGCCUGGUGCUGAACGCAGGCCGUUGUGCACACCUCCCCCACACAGGCCUCCUCUGUACACACUGCCCUCCAGACACCGAGCCCAACACCCCACCUCCUGUCCAGGGCCAGUCCCGCCCCUGUGUGUACUCUGUCCCCACCCCAUGCCCACUCCCCGGCCUCCUCAGUCAGAAGGCAGUGCCCUCUUGUGGGAAAACCUUCUGUUCUCUGGCCCCGUCUCGUAUCCUGGCUGCUUGGCUCAGAACCGUCACUCAGGCCCUGCUGCCCAAACUAGAGGGACAGCCAGUGCCAGGGAGGAGCUGGGAGUCCUGACCAUGGGGCCCAAGCAACCUUCCUACUCAUCCCAUAACCAGCACAGAGCGUUGUGCAUGCAGGUCACCCAGAGCCCCUGACCUCAAGCAAGUAACUUCUCCAUCACGUGACCUCGGAAUGCUCAGGACUGGAAGGGUGAGGUGAGUGAAGCAUCCAGCCAGGUGCAAAUUUAAGGGAGAAACAAAACGAGGUGACCAAGAUGAAUAAUAAUUUAGUGCAAUACUUUAAAACAUCUAAAUCAAUGCAAAAAUUCCAUGAUGAACAAUAUAUUAAGAAUUUACAUAAAGACCAUGGCAGUAUCACCAGCGUUUCCCUUUGCCUCAGGCUCAGACAUGCUCAGCAGAGAACCGAUGGUCACAAGGGAAUAAAAGUGUGAGUGGAGGUGCCUGGGAAAGCACCAGAACGGACCCGCAGUCCGGGCACCCGAUCCCAAAGAAAAAUGUUGGGCUUCGAGAGUAAAACGCAAGCAGCCUCAGAUGAGGCUGCCGCCUAAAGCUUCGCGGCCCUUCCCAUCUCCACCCAGGGCCGUGCGUCUGGGUGGCCAGGCCCUGGGUCACGGCCCGGACCCUGAUGGAGAGCAUCCACCUGCCAAAGAGAAGAGAGACCGGAACAUGCCAGCUGGGAAAGAGUGCCCCCCAGCCUGCAGUCCCCCCCACUUCCACCUCAGAGGGUCACCUGAGAGGGAGCACCAGGGCCCGUCACGGGGAGCUCUGGAAUUAGAGAUGCGUGUGAUAGCGGGGGUUACCUCCACCAGCAAGCCCCAGGCAGGGCACCCUCGGCCCCACUUGGGAAGAUGGAAUAAACAAGGCCAGCCGACCUCGGGAGUCCCCGAGGCAAAGGCAGCUGAGGGAGCAUCGGAACGAACAGAGAGCAGGCACUGCGGCGCCUCAGGGGUGCCAGGUGUGAUGAGGCCUCAGAGCAGGGACCUGGCAGAAGGGAGACCCGCUGCCACAUUUCAGCUUUGCUCCCUCACAGUGACUUCUCCUCCUUGAGUUUCAAAGUGACCAGAUCUUUAAUGGGCCUGGCCUCCACUUACUCUUUGCCCAAUCCAGGUCGAGAAUGACGAGACCCAAAGUCUAGGCAUGAGAUGGACCCCUGCCUGCACCCAGGGCCCCAGGGCGGGGGCUGCCCUCCCAGCGCCUCACCUUGCCGUGUCCGCCCAGCAAGAGCCUCGAGGUCCUGCAGCUGGUGGCCUUGUCUCCGUGUGUCCACCUCUGGCUCAGCAGCUCACCCCGGAACUCAUUUUCUGAGGGUCAGAAGAAGAAAACCUGAUGAACCCCAGCUGCGCCAGCUCAAGGGGAGAACUCGGGAAGCUCGGGCCUCUUUCACAUGGCGCUUACACCGUCCCCCUUCUCCGGAAUCCGCUGGAAAGGUUAUGGCCUCCCCGCCACGUCAGGAACAAGAGGCGGGAGCUCUUUGAGAAGAAGCCUCUGGGACGGUCCCCAGAGGCUUCGGGUGCCCUGGCCCCAGCAACCAGCUCUGGCUGCGCUUGAUGGAACACGCCUGGGAGCGGGUACGGAUUUCCACUGGGGAGGCCACCCCCGCCAGGGGCUGGCGUGGGUCAGGUGAGGUCCGACACUUCGCCUCCCCUUUGCCCAGGCUCCUGGCAUCUUCCCUCUCCCGCUGUUUCCGCCUCUCUCCAGAGCAGCACCUCCAGUGGGUACCUCCUUCCUCGCAAACAUGCACACGGCAGAGAGGAAGCUCAAGGCAUCAGCUGGACCCGACAAAGAAA
rnacentral:lncRNA from 1 species